UACGGAGGAUGCGAGCGUUAUCCGGAUUUAUUGGGUUUAAAGGGUGCGCAGGCGGCGUGUCAAGUCAGCGGUAAAAUGUCGGGGCUCAACCCCGGCCGGCCGUUGAAACUGGCGUGCUCGAGUUGGAGAGAAGUACGCGGAAUGCGUGGUGUAGCGGUGAAAUGCAUAGAUAUCACGCAGAACUCCGAUUGCGAAGGCAGCGUACCGGCAUCCAACUGACGCUGAGGCACGAAAGCGUGGGGAUCAAACAGG
rnacentral:rRNA from 1 species